GCCCGCCCGCCCGAGCCUCCGUGCCCACGGGCGGGGAGCUGCGGUCCCAGCUCCUCCACCGCGCGGAGGAAGUGAGUGUGCAGUGCUCCCCCUGCCUCCCCUGUCACAGCUACAGGCUGUGGAGGCGCAGACUGUCCCGCGCCGCAGACACCGCUCCUGGUGCCCAGGUCCCCGCCGCCAAGGGCGGAGCGUCCUUGUUGGUGCCCCGCAGCCUCAGGCCUGAAGUUCGGUCACUUAAAACCACCUCCGUUCCCAACGGGGAUCACUGGGACUUUCCCAAGGCACAAGUUACCGGAUACCCGGCUCCCGAGGUGUUCCCGUCCCAGCCGAAGGACGUUAAAUAGCCCGUCUGAGACAGGCGGUUCCCCACGCGUGCGUCGUUAGCCGUCCCAGAUUCUGGUCUCGCUCCUGCCGUCUCAGCUUUGCAGGCUGACUGUUGCGUGGCCGUUUUCAGCACCUUUCACAUCGCCGGUGAAUUUGAGCUGUUCUGCUGUUAUCGUUUCAUCAUCAUCCAGCAAAAGCGUAAUGAGAAAUUAAAGUCCUGUAACUGAGCUGAUUUAACCAGAGGAGUAAUUGAAUGUUAUAAAUAGCCAAACUCUCUGAGUUUUUAAACAUGCAGUUUCCUGCUGAGACCCAUUUUGCUUUGCUUUUUAAAACAAUCCAGUCUGGAUUCAAUUAUGAACAGAGAAGAAGGCAGCUAUGGAAAUAUGUAGAAAACAAGUUACAAUCACCUUCCUGUUUAGCAUGCAAAGCACAGACUCAAUUCGUCUUUGAAUUUAAAAGCUGAAAAGAGGUUUCAUCAUGCUGUAAAAGCUGCCUUGAUCAAAUACUCUCCCAGCAGUGCAGUCAGACAAACGCAGUAUCCAACAGAACCGUUGCUAAGUUCUCUUCGGAUGGCUUCUGUCUCUGUACUUAUACUGCGCUGCCUCUGGAUCCUUCAUGCAAAUGGCUGUGAGAUUACUGGCUGUUAACGGAAUCCUGCAAUGUAGCAGCACUGAAGAUCAGAAUCCCAUUAUGGUGUGACGAAUUCACCAGGAAGGAGAAUUGCUAAGGUGCCAGCAUUGCCUCCCCGACAUGCCGGUCUGCACAGCUGCCAUUGCUCCGGAACGCUGGAAAACGAGGUUCUACCUAGCAGCUCUCUAUGGAAAGAGGCACAUGCAGAAAUUAUGCAAGGACAGGAAAAUUAAUGGAUAACAAGAAAAUAUCUGGAGGCAUAACAGUGCAUAUCUACAAGACUGGGGACUCUCAUCUUACUGAAGGGCCUGGCUACCAAACCAAGGAUGGCAUCCUAAGAGCUGACCAGGAUGGUGUAAGUAAUAUUUGGGUAAGCUAUGGAAAAGUAAAUCUAAUCAGUCUGACAGCUUUUUCUUUUCUUUUCUUUUUUUUUUUCCUGGAGUAAUCAAUUAACAGAAACACAAAGAGACCCUCCUCAGUUUCAGCCCCGUGCAAGCUUUUCAGUCUGGUGAUUUAGCCCAAACUUCCAUCCUCCUACAUCCCGUUCAGACCCACAGUCUGUCACAGGACUUUGCUGUACAGCUGAGUGGGCGUUAAGAGCAGUGCAGAAUACCAGCAGCUCAAAAAAAUCGCCACUGCACUCAUUUUGCAUUCGCUUUGCACUGCACAAGCCGCUGUGUUGAACAGAGUCGUGAGGCCCAAAAUGCUUUCUCCUGAGUGAGGAGAGAGUGAACUGGUUUUGAGUUGACCCAUCGAUCACCUGAAACUCUGGAGCUUAUUGCAGUGAUAAUUCAGGUAAGUAUCCAAAACAGAGUCUCUGUAACAGGUAUUGGCUCCUGCCCAUAGAUACUUGUAGCUGUGCGGAUCUGAAUUGUGCAUGCACGGACGUAUUGUGCUGCCUGGCUCUCAAAGAUACUGAGCUCCUUUGGCUUUGUUUUUUUCUGAAAAAAUAGAGAAGAUGCUCCAGAGCUAUGAUAUAAAAGCCUUUCCAUGAAUAUCUUUUUGUAUAUUUGAAAUUUGCCCCACUUGGAAUUACUGAAUAUAAAAUACUUUUUGAAAAUGAAUUACAUGGUACAAGAUAAAAGGUCCCAUUAGAAAAUACAUAAAGAAGGAAUGUAACUAAUGGGCCAGAUUAUCACUAUCCAGUUCCUGCAGAUAGGGAUAGUUGUACUCUAAUUACUUCCUUGCCUGCCUGCUCAUCACUUCUGCAAAGUGACGGAAACCACAGAUCACCUAUGGGCUUUUGAAUCUGAGUCUUCUUAGUCACAUUAGAGCUAUUAGACUUGGGUGUUUAAAGCCAAAUUUAAUGCCUACUGAAGGCUAACACUAAUAAUUUGUUCCU